rnacentral:rRNA from 1 species
ACUCCUACGGGAGGCAGCAGUAGGGAAUCUUGCGCAAUGGACGAAAGUCUGACGCAGCAACUCCGCGUGGAGGAAGACGGUCUUCGGAUUGUAAACUCCUUUUAUCAGGGAAGAAAAAUAUCCAAAUUGACGGUACCUGAUGAAUAAGCAACGGCUAAAUACGUGCCAGCAGCCGCGGUAAUACGUAUGUUGCAAGCGUUACUCGGAAUCACUGGGCGUAAAGCGUACGAAGGCGGACUAAUAAGUCAGAGGUGAAAUUUUGGGGCUCAACCCUAAAACUGCCUUUGAAACUGUUGGUCUUGAGUAAUAGAGGGGAAGAUAGAAUUCUUGGUGUAGCGGUGGAAUGCGUAGAUAUCAAGAAGAAUACCGGUGGCGAAGGCGGUCUUCUGGCUAUAUACUGACGCUCAUGUACGAAAGCGUGGGGAGCGAACAGGAUUAGAUACCCUGGUAGUCCACGCCGUAAACGAUGGACACUCGUUGUCAGAUCCCUUGAGGAUUUGGUGACCAAGCUAACGCAUUAAGUGUCCCGCCUGGGGAGUACGUCCGCAAGGAUGAAACCCAAAGGAAUUGACGGGGGCCCGCACAAGCGGUGGAGCAUGUGCUUUAAUUCGAUGCAACGCGAAGAACCUUACCUGGUCUUGACAUACUACUGACCGCAUUAGAGAUAAUGUUUUUUCUUCGGAAACAGUAGAUACGGGUGCUGCAUGGUUGUCGUCAGCUCGUGUCGUGAGAUGUUGGGUUAAGUCCCGCAACGAGCGCAACCCUUGUCCUUAGUUGCCAGCACGUAAUGGUGGGAACUCUAGGGAGACUGCCUACGCAAGUANGANGAANGUGAGGAUGACGUCAAAUCAUCAUGGNCCUUACGACCAGGGCUAGACACGUGCUACAAUGGNNGGUACAAAGGGUUGCUAACUUGCGAAAGUGUGCUAAUCUCAAAAAACCGGUCUCAGUUCNGNU